AUGGACCAUGAGCCAGCUGUUACAUUGUCCUUGCCGGCGACGGGGCAGCAGUCCGUCCGAGACGAAAUUAAAUUUCUCCCCUCGCGCCACGUCGGUGGCUGCAGCUUCCCUCCUCGUCCUCCACCUCUCUUGCGGCUUGGAGAUCUUCUCGGCGUACUAGGGAUUAGUAAAGGGACUAAAGAAAUAAAAACAACAACGACUAAUUCAUUCACCAAUAUAUUUUUGAAAAGUCGAAAGAUAAGCGAUAAUGAUUUUGUGAAAGAUUCUAGGAUGUUAAUUGGUAAAAGGAUUAGAGUUGGUUUAUUUUAUUUCUCAAAAUAG
rnacentral:rRNA from 1 species